AACUAUGGAUUCUGUGAUUCAAUAAUGCAACUGACUUGUAUACACUUGAAACAAGUCUAAAAUCACCAAAAGAACUUGCUGCAAUCAACAAACAGCACAGAUCUGGACUGACAAAAUUUUCACAAUAUUUCCAGAUUUGGAAACUAAAUCUGACGCAGAAUUUCAAUGCCACAGCAGAUCAGAGAAAUUUGCUUUAAAAUGCUAAGCUCAUGUGAUCAAAGCUAGACAAUGUCUUGAUGCUUUUUAAGAUCAAAGAAGAGCUAUCACUGCACUGAUCUAAUUCAAACACAG
rnacentral:lncRNA from 1 species